rnacentral:rRNA from 1 species
UUAAUUGGGCGUUAAGUUGCAGGGUAUAGACCCGAAACCCGGUGAUCUAGCCAUGGGCAGGUUGAAGGUUGGGUAACACUAACUGGAGGACCGAACCGACUAAUGUUGAAAAAUUAGCGGAUGACCUGUGGCUGGGGGUGAAAGGCCAAUCAAACCGGGAGAUAGCUGGUUCUCCCCGAAAGCUAUUUAGGUAGCGCCUCGUGAAUUCAUCUCCGGGGGUAGAGCACUGUUUCGGCUAGGGGGCCAUCCCGGCUUACCAACCCGAUGCAAACUGCGAAUACCGGAGAAUGUUAUCACGGGAGACACACGGCGGGUGCUAACGUCCGUCGUGAAGAGGGAAACAACCCAGACCGCCAGCUAAGGUCCCAAAGUCAUGGUUAAGUGGGAAACGAUGUGGGAAGGCCCAGACAGCCAGGAUGUUGGCUUAGAAGCAGCCAUCAUUUAAAGAAAGCGUAAUAGCUCACUGGUCGAGUCGGCCUGCGCGGAAGAUGUAACGGGGCUAAACCAUGCACCGAAGCUGCGGCAGCGAACGUAUCACCCAAGACAACUUUACGGAGUUGACGAUUGACGGAGCGAAGCGACGUCAAAGCGUUCAUUAAAGUCGAGUUGGCUUAGGGAUACGUUCGUUGGGUAGGGGAGCGUUCUGUAAGCCUGUGAAGGUGUGUCGUGAGGCAUGCUGGAGGUAUCAGAAGUGCGAAUGCUGACAUAAGUAACGAUAAAGCGGGUGAAAAGCCCGCUCGCCGGAAGACCAAGGGUUCCUGUCCAACGUUAAUCGGGGCAGGGUGAGUCGACCCCUAAGGCGAGGCCGAAAGGCGUAGUCGAUGGGAAACGGGUUAAUAUUCCCGUACUUGGUGUUACUGCGAAGGGGGGACGGAGAAGGCUAUGUUGGCCGGGCGACGGUUGUCCCGGUUUAAGCGUGUAGGUGUGUGUUCCAGGUAAAUCCGGUUCACUUUAACACUGAGGCGUGACGACGAGGCACUACGGUGCUGAAGCAACAAAUGCCCUGCUUCCAGGAAAA